rnacentral:rRNA from 1 species
UACAGAGGGUGCAAGCGUUAAUCGGAAUUACUGGGCGUAAAGCGUGCGUAGACGGUUAUGUAAGUCAGAUGUGAAAGCCCCGGGCUCAACCUGGGAAUUGCAUUUGAGACUGCAUAGCUAGGGUGCGGAAGAGGGAAGCGGAAUUUCCGGUGUAGCGGUGAAAUGCGUAGAUAUCGGAAGGAACACCAGUGGCGAAAGCGGCUUCCUGGUCCAGCAACGACGUUCAGGCACGAAAGCGUGGGGAGCAAACAGG